rnacentral:rRNA from 1 species
CUACGGGAGGCUGCAGUGGGGAAUAUUGCACAAUGGGGGAAACCCUGAUGCAGCAACGCCGCGUGGAGGAUGACACAUUUCGGUGCGUAAACUCCUUUUAUAUGAGAAGAUAAUGACGGUAUCAUAUGAAUAAGCUCCGGCUAACUCCGUGCCAGCAGCCGCGGUAAUACGGGGGGAGCAAGCGUUACUCGGAAUCACUGGGCGUAAAGAGCAUGUAGGCUGAUAAAAAAGUUAGAAGUGAAAUCCUGUGGCUUAACCAUAGAACUGCUUCUAAAACUCUUUAUCUAGAAUAUGGGAGAGGUAGAUGGAAUUUCUGGUGUAGGGGUAAAAUCCGUAGAGAUCAGAAGGAAUACCGAUUGCGAAGGCGAUCUACUGGAACAUAAUUGACGCUGAGAUGCGAAAGCGUGGGGAGCAAACAGGAUUAGAUACCCUAGUAGUC